UGCGUAGGCGGUCUGUUAAGUUGGAUGUGAAAACUCUGGGCUCAACCCAGAGCCUGCAUCCAAAAACUGGCAGGCUAGAGUUCUGGAGGGGGUAGCGGAAUUCCUGGUGUAGCGGUGAAAUGCGUAGAUAUCAGGAGGAACACCGGUGGCGAAGGCGGCUACCUGGACAGAAACUGACGCUGAGGCACGAAAGCUAGGGGGAGCAAACA
rnacentral:rRNA from 1 species